rnacentral:lncRNA from 10 species
CACAAACCUGAGAGGGCAGGAAGUCCACGCUGCCACCACGGGGUCACCACAGGGAGCCUGGUGGGGACACAGAGUAAAAAGAAUAGAAAAUAACCAAAUGUCAAGACUGCAACUGGGGUGGAGCCAAGCUGCUGCGGAUGUUGCCAAGGGCCCUUCCCGGGAGAGCCAGGUGGGGUACCCACAUGCCACCUUCUCCUCAGGUGGAGCCACCGCCUGUGGCCUCCUGUGGGGCCAGCCUGGACUGCAGCUGCCAGGACCUAGUGAUGGCCCCAAACCUGAGAGUGGGCCCAGAGUCCCACCCCGCUAACCAUGCUGAAAAAGGCCACAGGGCACAUGAAGCCUUUGCUCCCUGGAUCAGGUCACGCUCUCCAGUUUUCCUUCCAGGAGGACAGGCCAUGCACUAAAAAACAGCUGCAGAGGAAAGGCUGGACCAGGUGUGCUGGGAGUCACCAGGAGCAAGGUGGUGAAGUGAAGAAACUGAGAUAGGAGAAGGGAUGGUGCCUGAGUCUGCGGCAGACCCUGAACUGGGCCACAUCUCCCAACUUGAGAUUGAAGUCGCUUUGAAAGCAGAGCACAUGAAUCCGGGCAACGUGACUUAAGAGCUGGCUGAUGUUCCAGGACAGCACAAAAGAACGGAACUUGUUUUCAUGCUAUGAGUGCGCAAACCAAUGGGCAGUUUUUGGGGUUACUCGUGAUUGCUCCUCGGUCCAGAGUUCAGGCAGCAAUCUGAGCCACUCAACUGCUCUUCUUUACCCCUCUACCUCUGCAGUUCAUUGGGGGACAGAGCUGGGCCAGGAUCCUGGGACAGAAGGAGGAGGCGGGCCCAGGAAAGUCCACUUGGGGUAACACACAAUUUGUACAUAAAAAAGAAAUGUUCACCUCUUUGUAUGUACCGUAGUAAUUAUUUCACCUUCUUUUAUGAACUUGCACAUUUUCAGAGAGAGUUAAAUUAAGCAGAGUCUGAAAGUGGAGAAUUCUCACAUAGAUAAAAGAAUGGGGACCUGAAAUUGGGUCAUCAGGAAGUGUCUUGUGGCAAAAUACACUUAGUAUCGAACUGAAGGAAGAAAUAUUUCAAACAUUUUCUUUAAGGAAAACUUAAUGGAUGUGACUUAAUAUUGUCUAGACUGACCUAGCAGCACAAGGUGGUGCGUUCAAGGACUUUUCAUCUCAAUCCACAGGAAAAGGGUUCGAUUUAGAUGAGAAAGAGGGAGCGGGGCACAGCUAGACUGGAGAGGCAUCCUGUCCACGGAUUAGUCUUCACUCUUCAUGUGGGCAGUAGAAUGGUAAACGGGACCUUCUUAAAACAGCAGCUCCCAAACACUGGGAGGUUGAUGUGCUUCCUAAACCCUCACUGAUUCAUGAUGUUCGGCACAGUGUGGGGCCUCCCGAAAACGGUGCUGAUCAUAUGGAGUUUGUGGAACAUCUCCUAUGUGUACUACCGGGACUCUACUAUCCUCCGUGAUCACAAUUUCACUGGGGGCCAGUCGCCUAGAAGAUCUCACGGGGUGUCCAAUCUUUUGGCUUCCCUGGGCCACAUUGGAAGAAGACGAAUUGUCUUGCACCACAUAUAAAAUACACUAACACUAACGAUAGCUGAUGAGCUAAAAAAGAAAAUUGCAAAAAUAUCUCAAUGCUUUAAGAAAGUUUACAAAUUUGUGUUGGGCUGCAUUCAAAGCCAUCUUAGGCCACAUGUGGCCCGUGGGCCAUGGGUUGGACAAGCUUGAAGAUAGCCAUGAGACUACUGAUGACAAGAAUAAAGGUGGUUUAUUGAAUCCGUACUGUGUACUAGACUCUUCACAUGCAGAGCCUCAUUUAAUGCUCGUAACAAUCUCUUGAGGCUGAGACAAGCAUAUCCCCCAUCUUACAGAGGAAGAAGCCCACUCAGAGAAGCUAAGGAACUAACCCAAGAUCACACAACUAGAGUAGGGAUUCAAACCCAGACAAUGUGGAACCACAGACCACAACUUACCCACCAGCUGUUGUAAGUACACAGGGAAACCAGAGCAGGAGGGCAGAAAAAAGGAGGAGAUAUAUGGGGGUUAUAAGCAAGGUGUGGGUUAUAUGGAAGGUCAGUUGACAUCUUCUAUGAAUCCCCUGAAACCAGGAUGAAGAAUUUCAGACCAAAAGACUAUAGAGAGAGAAAAAAACUCCUGCUCCAAAUGAGAGAAGAGAAAGAGUGUUGACGGUAAAAUAUCAGUGAGACGCUGUGAUUUGUGCCUUUUGUCUUUUUCUAUCUGGCUCCCCUAGCAACAGUUAAGUAGUAAUGAAUGUAAAUGCUCAGUAACACGCCGGCGAGACUGUUCCACCAGGCGCAGCAUCCCUGGUAAACAGAAAUGCAUGCUAAUUUCUGCUCCGUGAAGCAUAGGAAACAUCACUAGGGGCUGCCCAGUGGAAAGGAACAAAAAGCAGAUGGAAAAAAUGUUUAAAUCUCAAGUUUAUGUGAGAACAGAAAAGAAGGAACAUGUUGUAAAUUAUUUUUUGAAAUAUUAAGCUACUAACAAAAUCCUAACACCAAGACAGACAACAGGGGUGGUAAAAGGGGAAGGAGAGACGGAGUCACAAUGGAGACGGUUUUGCUACAGCACAUCAUUAACCGCCACGUUUUUCUGCAGUAUCUGAAAAUAUCAGUCUUGGAAAUACCUAUGCAUUAUUUUUUCAGAGGCCAGCCCCUGCGCUGUGGUUGUUUCACCAGUAAUACUAUCCUGUGAGGCCUCUCAAGAAACAGCCACCUUUCUGUU